rnacentral:rRNA from 1 species
UACGAAGGGUGCAAGCGUUACUCGGAAUUACUGGGCGUAAAGCGUGCGUAGGUGGUUCGUUAAGUCUGAUGUGAAAGCCCUGGGCUCAACCUGGGAAUUGCAUUGGAUACUGGCGGGCUAGAGUACGGUAGAGGGUGGCGGAAUUCCUGGUGUAGCAGUGAAAUGCGUAGAGAUCAGGAGGAACAUCCGUGGCGAAGGCGGCCACCUGGACCAGUACUGACACUGAGGCACGAAAGCGUGGGGAGCAAACAGG